CAGCUGGUGGGAAGGCAAGGCCAACCCAGGGGAGCUCAGGUGCAUGCAAUGAACCUGAGUGACUGAAAGGGGUGGAGCAAGGAGGCACUACUUCCCAAACCUCAUUUAAGGGUUGGUGGUGGUGCUGUGGGUGCUUUGCUGGAGAUCUCUGUAUAUCUGAAUCCUUCUGGAGGUCCUCAGGUGUUCAGUGAGAGAAACAUGUGCUUACCAUGUGCAAUAUUAUCUCCUAUGCUAAGUAUUCAUUGGUGACAAAAGCUCAUUGAGAGGGACCUCUGGAGAUCAUCUGGUUUAACUUCCCACGUGAAGGGGGACUGCUGCUGGUGCUGGAUCAGGAUGGGAAUGCUUUUAACAUUUGUUUCAAGAACAACAUUUAAUCAGAUGGCAAUAUGCAUGUAUUUCCAUCUGUGAAAUCUACCUAGAAAUAUGGAAUCUGUUCUGGGAGGGAGCCUUCUUGUUGAAAGUACAAGACCACUGUGCUCAGUGAUAAAGAGAACCUUACUUAUCUCCUCUUCAAAAUUAGAAGACCUUGUUAAUAUUCCAGACCUGGUUUAUGGAACUGCUGGCAGUCGCUGCAGAUCUAUUUGAAUCAAAAUGAAAGCUGAUGGAAGAAAUCAGAAAUGCAGUGCAGCAGCUCAGUGUUGAUGCAUACCAAGGAUGGUAAAGACCACAUCAAGGAGUGGGCAGGAGCUUUCCUGAGGUUGGCCAUGUGGUAACCUGGAUCAAGAGCCUAAGUGCCUUUAUGCUGCUUGGAGGAGCAAUCAAGAUCAGGAACGUACAGUUGAACGCUCCAUGCACCUGUUGUUGAACAGCCUCUGCCUUCUAAGAAUCUCAGGUGUUACCCUUCACAGCUGAUGCAUGUAAUGCUUUUACAUUCUUCUAUUUUUCCCACUUUCCAGGGAGAUCCAGCCCCCUUAUUGUUUUAUUUUUUGUCUCCCUUCUCUAAUCAGCUCAACGUCUCCCCUAUUUCCAGUAUUCUUAAGCUUUUGCUUAAUACAGUUGUCAUUUAAAGAGCUUUGUGUAGCUACCCUCUGGGAAUGUAGUGCUUUGUACGCUGCCUUGGAGAAAAUAAGCUUGAUAUUUGGCAUGUAGAGAGAAACCCGUAACAUUUAACCCCUGGCAAACUGUGACACAGAUUUUUCCAGAGUUUUUUUGUAAUAUAACUUGGAAAAUUACUUCCAGUUUUGCAUGAAAAGCUCAAAGUCCAGAAUUUCUGGAAUGUUUAUUUCAGUUAUCACUUCAAGCAGAAAAAAAUGGUAUUCUUUAUUGUAGUAGUGCCUAGAACUUGAGCUGAGGGUGUCGUUUUGUUGUAUCGUUUAAAAUAAAAAAUGCUCUUCUACUAAAUAUA